UCAAAUUUCAAGAAUCUAGAUUAAUUAAUUGGUGGGCUUUGGUGGGAGAGAUCUGAAGAUGAUCUCUUCUGUUUCUAACCUAUACCCUUACGUAAAACCAACAAACCAAAGUAAUUAUAUUACUAAUUUUGUUGCUAGAUAUAGGUGUAUCUAAUUAUCUACUUUUGUGUCAGCUUGAGCUCAUUCUUUUACUGCCUCAGUAUACCAUGACCAAGUAACAAGCACACGAGGACUACAUGGUAUCAAUAAAUGUAUAGUUAAAUUAACAAAAGAAAAUAUAAUACAUGUUUUUAUCACAAAUGGUAUCUGAUAUUGACAUAUCUCAUCAACAUGAUAUCAGAAAAUGAAAAUCGAUCAAUGUAAUCCAUGAAUAUAAGUGCCUCAAAUCAAUGACAUCCUUCCGUUUAUUUGCGUUAAAUAUUAUGUUAAUGUCACACGACACAUGUAGCUCCACAUGCCUAAUUAAAUAGCACCACAUGGAUUAAAAAUAAUGGAAUAAUUUCCUAAACUAAUUAAAAUUCUGAAAAUUCUAACCAAUAAAAAAGAAAAAUAACAUUUAAAAAGUAAUUUGUGAAAAAAAAAAUCAUGAAUUGGGUCUAGUAGACCUUAUCAAAGGAAUUUUUUUUUCGAUGAUAUCCAUGAAAAAGCUUGAGAUCUCAUAGCUUUUUAAAAUUUUCCUUUGGUUCUUCGCUGGAGAAGGCUAUCGUGGGUUGAGUUUGGAUGAGAGAAGUUGUCGCGUGCAUGGCGUUUGGAGAAAAUGAGGUGCUCGAGUAGGGUUGCACAUUUGGAGGAGUUGCGUGGGUCAUCCUUUCUUGAAUCUGCAGGAGAGCUCUAAGAAUAUAUAGGUUCGUCACGGGUCGAUUAGACGUGAGUUUUAUCUUCACACA
rnacentral:lncRNA from 1 species